UACGUAGGGGGCAAGCGUUAUCCGGAUUUACUGGGUGUAAAGGGAGCGUAGGUGGCAGGAUAAGACAGGUGUGAAAGCCCGGGGCUCAACUCCGGGACUGCACUUGUAACUAUUCUGCUAGAGUGCGGGAGAGGUAAGUGGAAUUCCUAGUGUAGCGGUGAAAUGCGUAGAUAUUAGGAGGAACACCAGUGGCGAAGGCGACUUACUGGACCGUAACUGACACUGAGGCUCGAAAGCGUGGGGAGCAAACAGG
rnacentral:rRNA from 1 species